rnacentral:rRNA from 1 species
AACGCGAAGAACCUUACCUGGGCUCGAAAUGUAGUGGACCGGGGUAGAAAUAUCCCUUCCUAGCAAUAGGCUGCUAUAUAGGUGCUGCAUGGCUGUCGUCAGCUCGUGUCGUGAGAUGUUGGGUUAAGUCCCGCAACGAGCGCAACCCUUAUUACCAGUUGCUACCAUUUAGUUGAGCACUCUGGUGAGACCGCCUCGGAUAACGGGGAGGAAGGCGGGGAUGACGUCAAGUCCUCAUGGCCUUUAUGUCCAGGGCUACACACGUGCUACAAUGGCCGGUACAAACCGUCGCAAACCCGCGAGGGGGAGCUAAUCGGAAAAAGCCGGCCUCAGUUCGGAUUAGAGUCUGCAACUCGACUCUAUGAAGCUGGAAUCGCUAGUAAUCGCGGAUCAGAAUGCCGCGGUGAAUACGUUCCCGGGCCUUGUA